rnacentral:rRNA from 1 species
AUUGAACGCUGACGGCAGGCCUAACACAUGCAAGUCGAACGAGUGGCGGACGGGUGAGUAAUGUCUGGGACACUGCCUGAUGGUUGGGGAUAACUACUGGACACGGUCGCUAAUACAGCAUACCAUCAGCUGUGCCCCGUGGGGAUUAGCUAUUUGGGGGGGUAACGGCUCACCAAGGCGACGAUCCCUAGCAGUGCUGAGAGGAUGACCAUCGCAACUGGAACUGAGACACGGUCCAGACGCCUACGGUAAGCAGCAGUGGGGAAUAUUGAACAAGGGGCGCAAGCCUGAUGCAGCCAUGCCGCGUGUAUGAAGAAGGCCUUCGGGUUGUAAAGUACUUUCAGCGUGUAGGCGUUACCCGCUGAAGAAGCACCGGCUAACUCCGUGCCAGCAGCCGCGGUAAUUC